CCUACGGGGGGCAGCAGUGGGGAAUAUUGCACAAUGGGCGCAAGCCUGAUGCAGCCAUGCCGCGUGUGUGAAGAAGGCCUUCGGGUUGUAAAGCACUUUCAGCGGGGAGGAAGGCGUUAAGGUUAAUAACCUUGGCGAUUGACGUUACCCGCAGAAGAAUCACCGGCUAACUCCGUGCCAGCAGCCGCGGUAAUACGGAGGGUGCAAGCGUUAAUCGGAAUUACUGGGCGUAAAGCGCACGCAGGCGGUCUGUCAAGUCGGAUGUGAAAUCCCCGGGCUCAACCUGGGAACUGCAUUCGAAACUGGCAGGCUAGAGUCUUGUAGAGGGGGGUAGAAUUCCAGGUGUAGCGGUGAAAUGCGUAGGGAUCUGGAGGAAUACCGGUGGCGAAGGCGGCCCCCUGGACAAAGACUGACGCUCAGGUGCGAAAGCGUGGGGAGCAAACAGGAUUAGAUACCCUAGUAGUC
rnacentral:rRNA from 1 species